UUAGAUUCAUGGACCCAAUUAAGGACCCAGCUCUCAUUCUUUUGGAAGGGGGUCACACUUCCAGUGGCUCAUUUUGUUCUUUUUCUAUUUUCUCUUGUCCUGAAACGCGCACGGCAGAAGGAAGCUUCUUUCCUUUCUCUUCUCCUUUUUCAUGGACAACGGUGAGAGUGUAGUGAUGGAGGUGAGAGACGCGACAAGGUUGCGGCGAGAUGCGACGAGUUUGCGACGGAGGCGAGGCGAUGACGGAGCGGUGGUGUGACGAGGUUGAGAUGACUAUGCGAAGACGUUGGCCGUUCGGAUUCGCGGCGCAAGUUCCUUCCCCUCCACCUUUCUCUAUUUAUCGUUUAAGCUUAGGGAUUUUUCCUAAUUUCGUAUAAGGACGCAGGUGUUACCAAUAAAGGAGUAUUUGAAAAUGCGUAUUCAGGAACAAGCUUGAUGAGGAUGGAAACAUCACAAAAAAUAAAGCAAGACUAGUUGCAAAGGGCUACUGUCAAGAAGAAGGUAUUGAUUACGAUGAAACUUAUGCACCAGUAGCCAGGUUAGAAGCCAUUAGAUUAUUACUUGCAUAUGCUUCUUUGAUGAAAUUUAAACUAUAUCAAAUGGAUGUUAAAUGUGCAUUUUUAAAUGGUUUUAUAAAAGAGGAAGUUUAUGUUAGUCAACCUCCUGGUUUUGAAGAUUUCAAAUUUCCUGAUCAUGUUUAUAAAUUGAAAAAGGCCCUUUAUGGUCUUAAACAGGCACCUAGGUCUUGGUAUGAAAGACUUAGUACCUUUUUGAUUGACAAUAGAUUUUCUAGAGNNNNNNNNNNNNNNNNNNNNNNNNNNNNNNNNNNNNNNNNNNNNNNNNNNNNNNNNNNNNNNNNNNNNNNNNNNNNNNNNNNNNNNNNNNNNNNNNNNNNNNNNNNNNNNNNNNNNNNNNNNNNNNNNNNNNNNNNNNNNNNNNNNNNNNNNNNNNNNNNNNNNNNNNNNNNNNNNNNNNNNNNNNNNNNNNNNNNNNNNNNNNNNNNNNNNNNNNNAGAAAUUCUUAGAAAAUUUGGAAUGGAUAACUGCAAGGAAGCUAGUACACCCAUGGGCACCUCUUGUUAUUUAGAUAAAGAUGAAAAUGGAAAAGAAGUAAAUGAAACCAUGUUUAGAGGAAUGAUAGGGUCUUUGCUAUACUUGACUGCUAGUAGACCAAACAUUAUGCAAAGUGUAUGUGUAUGUGCUAGAUAUCAGGCCAAACCAAAGGAAUCACAUUUAACUGCAGUNAAAAGAGUCCUAAAAUAUCUUAAGGGAACUACCUCUUUCGGACUUUGGUAUCCCUCUGAUGCUUCACCUAGUUUAAUAGGAUAUUCUGAUGCAGAUUAUGGUGGCUGUAAAAUUGAUAGAAAAAGUACUAGUGGUACUUGUCAUUUCUUAGGAUGUUCUUUAGUGUCUUGGCACUCAAAGAAACAAGCAUGUGUAGCCCUGUCUACCACAGAAGCUGAAUAUAUUGCAGCUGGGAACUGUUGUGCUCAAAUCUUAUGGAUGAAACAACAACUUGAAGACUUUGAUAUUUUCCUUGACAAUAUUCCUCUAAAAUGUGAUAACACCAGUGCUAUAAACUUGACAAAAAAUCGCAUAAUGCAUUCAAGAUCUAAGCACAUAGAAAUUAGACAUCAUUUCUUAAGAGACCAUAUUCAAAAGGGGGAUUGUCAAAUUGAAUAUGUUGAUACUUUGCAUCAGUUAGUUGACAUCUUUACCAAAGCUCUACCUAAAGAUAGAUUUUUUGAACUUAGAAGAGAAUUAGGAGUNUUAGACAUGUCCUAGGAUCAAAAUCCAUGCAAAAAUUUGCAUUUUUCGUAAGUUUAAUAAAUUAUAAUCGAUUAUCAAUAAUGCAUAAUCGAUUAUUUAGUCUUAAAAUGCAUUCUGGAAAUCUUUGAGCAGAUAAUCGAUUAUCAUCAGACAUAAUCGAUUAUCAUACAAUUCUGGGCAGAAAUAAAUGAACUGAUAAUCGAUUAUCUCGAGCCAUAAUCGAUUAUCACGCAAACAGAUUCAAAAAUAGAGCCGUUGGAGCGUCUCAUAACGGCUAUAAACGGCCAUAAACGACUAGUUUUUCCAUUUCUCUUAUAAAUAGGCCCCCAUAAUCGAUUAUUAGACACCUCUUUGCAACCCAUUGCUGCUAAAAUCAAAAUCCAGAGCUCAAAAUUUCCUUAUUCUUCUUUCACUUCACAAACCUUCAUACUUUCCAUGGCUGAACCAAGAAGGUAUCGUCGCAAGACAGCUGGGGAUCCUUCUUCCUCUCAACCAAGACUUGCUAACAUAAAUGGGUGGAUCUCAGAUCAAGAGAAACAUGAAGACUUCAUCAACUCCUGGCAAGAAAGGAAAAUCAUGGCGGUAAAGUAUAUCCGUCUUGAUUUCUUUCGCUUUUAUGGAUUUCAAUUCCCAAAUACUUUUGUUGAGCAGGGGUUAGCACAUUUCGUAGAACAAAAAGGAAAUAUUUAUCCCGAUCUCCUAAGAGUUUUCUAUUUCAACUUGCGCUAUCGAGAUGGGAUAAUUUCUACCAAGGUCAAAGGUGUUUGCAUCAUUUUAGAUGAUGACGUUUGGACAAAUGUUGCUCAACUCCCUAUUUGGGAUGAUGCUGUCAAAGUCCAUUUAGGACUUGAAGACUUUAACAGGAUGCUNACUUUUCAAUCCUUUCUGCGACAUCCUGAGAGGCAAACAANUAGAAGACAGCUACUGGUUGGAGGUUUCAAAGUUGAAGAGAGGAUGAUCCAUUACUUGAUUGUCUGGAUUCUCUGUCCUAGAGCAACCAACCAUGCUCAAUGCUCUGAACAGGAUUUACUUCUCCUAUAUGGGAUUUUAAAUCACAUACACAUCGAUUGGCCUGCUCUCAUUGCUGACACCAUGGUAAAAGCCAAAAAAAUCUCAUUCCUAUCAAUUUCCUUAUGCUCUUCUNAUUUCUAGGAUUUUAGAAUAUAAAGGAGUACCUGUUGAAGGAGAACUUGUUCAAACAAUUGAAGCUGUGGGUUCUGAAAUUGGAGAUACUACUUUNNNCCAGAUGGGAUUCAUUACCAGGGGUCGUGUCCUUAUUCACAAAGAUGAUGACCAUCCUNAUGAUGAUGAAGAUGAUGAUAUGGAUACUCANANGGCUGACCCAGUCAAUGCUGCUGCUCCGUCUGAUGCUGGACCCUCUAACAUACCCUCNUCUUCCUCAACUUCUAUGGAAGAACACUUUGCGAGAUUAUCUAAACAGAUAGAGGAUAUGUCUCUAGCCCAGAAAACUCAUUUUGAUGACAUUCAUGAGUGGCAGAAAUCUAUGGAUGAGUAUCUUGUUGAUCAAUUUCUUGAGCUUGAUGUUCGCAUCCAUAACAUUGAGUCUCAUCUUAAAAUUCCACCCACUGAACGUUCUCCUAGUCCUGAAUUCUAGUGUCGUUUUAGGAGUCUAAGUUUUUUAGUUGUUAACUGUAGUUUUUAAGACUUAGUCUUUAUGCAUUUUGAUGCUUUUAUCUUCAUGUACUUUCCUUUAUCUUUAAUAUAAUGAGCUUAUUUUGGACAUUUGAUGCCUUUGUUGAGGGGGAGCUCAUUUUAAGGGGGAGAUUUCUUUUCUUUAUUCUUUUUGUUUCUGAUCAAAAAAGGGGGAGAAGAAAUUUAUUAAGGAGAAUAAACUUGAACAGGUACUGCUAACCUUGUUGCUGUUUUUAGUCUAUAUGUAUUGCAGGAAAAACUGAGUUGCUUUUUAAAAGAAUUUUUGAUCAUCAUCAAAAAGGGGGAGAUUGUUACCAAUAAAGGAGUAUUGGUAAAACCUGAAGACAAGUUUUGAUGAUGCUGCAAAUUGUAAAUUUUUGUUUGUAAUAGGAGAUUAUUUAAAAGCAACUUGUAGUCUCUUGAAUGUAGUAGGAAAAUAAUUAACAUUGUAAUUUCUACUGAUAUAAUCGAUUAUGAACAUGCUACAAUCGAUUAUCAUAUGCUUUUGAACUACAAUANUCGAUUAUCAUAUGCUUUUGAACUACAAUAAUCGAUUAUCAUGAAGCAAUAAUCGAUUAUCACAAGUCUCACUUGAAUAAUCGAUUAUCACUUACAAUAAUCGAUUAUCUCUUUUUGAAUUUUCUAUAACAGACUUGAAUAAUCGAUUAUCACUUACUAUAAUCGAUUAUUCAUGGCAGUUGUGAGCUGACCUUUGGCAUUCAGCGUAUUUGGCUAUUUAAAUGAAUUUUGAAAUCUUCAGAAGUAAUAUUUUUUUAGUAAACUGAGAAAAGCCAUAACACUGAGUAGUCAGAGGAACGUUCUUGAGAAAGCUUUUUUGUUUACUGUGUUCCCUUGCCUGGUCUUGUGGAAGGAGAGACUUACGUAUCGUGUGCUGAUACAAGAAGUGGACUCUCUUCAAGUUGGCAGGGCUCUCUACCUGAUCUUGUGUAAGGAGAAGCACGUGAAUCGUGUGUCGAUUGCCGGUGCAGGUUCUCUUCAAGUUGGUAGAGUCGUUUCUUUCAUUCUAUUCCUGUUUAUUAUCUUGUAAUCUGUUAAACAAAUUUUUAGUGGAACUGUUAAUCACUCUUUGUAGUGAUUAACGACUGGACGUAGAUUCUGUUGAAUUGAACCAGUAUAAAAAUCCCUGUGUGAUUUUCUUUUGCCCUAUACUCAUUUUAUUAUUAACGCACGUUAUCUGCUUGGUAAAUUUUCUGAAAGAAAAUCGUUUAACUUAUAAAGGCAAAAUUGUUUCAACUGUGACUUGUUACGCUGUACGCUCUCUGUAUUUUAAUCCGCUGCGCUAAACUCUUUUAAAAAUUAACCCCUCCGAUACCAACAGCAGGUUGGGUGUGAACGAUGUUGCUAGGACGACAAAGGUGGCGGUGACGCGUGGUGAGUAAGGCCGGCGUUGCCACAGAGUGAAUCGUGUCCCGAUUCGGCAUUUUAGGGUUCCCGAGCUUGUUCUAAAAUUGGGGAUUUGGGGGUUUUGACUUUAGGGUUCCUGAACUUGUUUCUANAAUUGGGAAAUUUGCAANCUGUUCUUGCAAAUUGGGGNUUAGGUUUUCAANUGGGGAUUUUUGAUUCUGUUGUUGCGUCUCUGAUCUUGAAAGUUUUGAAUUCUUUUGAAUAUCUGUUGUUGCAUCUUUGGGGUUUGAUCUAGCGAUCACUCUGCUGUAUUUUGUGAUAUGUUUUUAUGCGUUAUGGUUUCGGUUUGUGGUGACGGUGCUGGUUGCUCACCAGC
rnacentral:lncRNA from 1 species